GCAGUCGCCACGGUAAAACAGAGGCCACGAGCGUUAGGCGGAAUCACUGGGCUUAAAGCGUGUGUAGGUGGAUGACUAAGUACCUUGUGAAAUCCCACGGCUCAACCGUGGAACUGCUUGGUAUACUGGUUGUCUUGAGGCACUCAGGGGCGAGCGGAACAAAUGGUGGAGCGGUGAAAUGCGUAGAUAUCAUUUGGAACGCCAAUGGUGAAGACAGCUCGCUGGGGGUGUACUGACACUGAGACACGAAAGCCAGGGGAGCGAACGGGAUUAGAUACCCCGGUAGUCCCUGUCUCUUAUAA
rnacentral:rRNA from 1 species